GGGAGUAGAGGUCCCCGACUUCCAUUGAAGACACAACUGGGCAGUGAUAUACAUUGCUUCCACUCAUAUCCCAUGGAGAACCCCAUCGUAUGGUCCCACCUAGGAGCGCUGUGCUAGAGCCCACUUCUAUGGCAUGUGAGGGCCCCGUGUGUACAUUUCCUCCCAGCUCCAUGUUCUAAGAGCUGAUUAAAAUUUACCAGUAAUCCACAGCACCUAGCUGCAAGAGAAGCUAGAAGAUGUAGUCUUCCUUUUUUUUCUGGACAGCCACAUUUCCAGCUAACAAUUCCGUAUGCGGGAACAAGGUUUUGUAGUUCUAUAGAAGCUACAAAUGGAUAUUUGGAAAUCAUUAGAAGUCUCUGUAAACAUGACAUCAUCUGGAAACAGGAAAAGGAAAAUUGGAAAACCUGUUUUUAACUGUGAGAAAACAGAUCUACCUGUAAGUGUGCAUAGGUGAGGCUUAUUGCUGCCAUCUCCAGACGUGGAGCACCGUGCGAGACAGAAGUUCAGCUUAUUUGCGUGGACUCAAGUGUAGAUAUCUGGGUGGAGGUUGCAUGAGUCAAAUUCUGCCCUGACUGUUGGCACUAUGCAGAAAUGCAGCACUGGUUCUCUCCAUGGCAAGUGUCCAGGCAGGAGCCUAAUGAUCACUUACAAUGUCUCCAAAGAGGUUACCCUGCCCAUCUCCAAGUUCAUCCUUCAGCCUCAAGCACGAUUCUCCUGAUCCCUCGAUUCUUAGGGCUUCCAGUACUCUCCUUUGCUGCACUCACCACAGUUGUAAUUAUGAGUACAAUCAUUUGGCUCACGUCCGUCUCCUCUACUGGAGUGUAGAAGCGACCACAUGUGGCCUCGGUCCCUAGGGUCCUAGUCCAAGAGGCUUUCCUUGAUUUUCCAAGACUGUGUAGGUCUCCCAUGGAACCCUGUCCUCACCCCACGUGGCACUGUCACCAGUGUACUUUAAUAACCAUUGUGUCCACUGUGUGUACCCAGGAACACAUGGGGGGGAAUGAGGGACAGAUGCUGGGCUUGUAAGCUUGUAAACGGCUCACGACAAUUAUUCUUUAGAAACAAGGUAUUUCGAUACAAAACAGAACAGAAAGCAAGUGAAGGAAGUGGUACGAAAUACUACCAGACAUUGAGGGGAACUGAACUUGAUUCCAAGCUUCCUGGAAACGAAGUAUAAAAAGAGAACAUCCUGGGUUACUGGAUUUUCUUUUUCUAAUAGGACAGAACAUGUGAAGCCCUCUGCAGAAGCCAAGUUUUCCCAGUGAUUGAUUAAAAUGAGACUAUUGUUUGCUCCCA